rnacentral:lncRNA from 1 species
AAGUGGGUGACGUUGAUCAAGGCACUGGGCUCACACGGGCCGCGCCCCGCGUGAUCUGUUGUCUCCAGGCAGACUGCCUCACUUGGGGCGAUUCUUUGAUCCCUACUUCCUAUAUGGCAAGCCAGGGACUGAAACUUACGAUUUGACUGGACAAUCUAUAAGGUGCUAGCUGCAUUCCUGGCCUGGGAGCAGGGAGCCUGUCUGACCCCUGUGUCACACUGGAUGGUUUUACAGAGGUGCCCCACCUGAUGCUGCAUGGAAGUCAUCACCCUACAGUGGUCCUUUCAUGACAGGCCGAAAGGUCACCAUAUGACAAACAGGACACAUCUGCCACAACUAGGAGGUGGGGCUGCUUCCCAAAGGACCCUGUGCCAGCCCAGUCUCUGUGGUGACUUGGUUCCAGGGGAGGCUGCACUUGACAGCACCUCCCUUAAAGAGGAGGCGUCAAUACAGAUGUAGGCCCGAAGAUGCUGUUGCAGUGUAUGUAAUAACAAAAGCUGGCUGUGACCGUAACACUCAGGGACCGAGGAUAGGGACCAGAGGCAGAUCACGGUCACAUAACAAGGCAGUAAAAAUGACAUUCAUGCAGAAUUUUAAUGAUGUAGGGGAACUGUGUGUGGUGUAAACGUGUGUAAAACUGAGGAUACGCAGUUAUAUGCAUGUAGAUAACUUCAACAAAGAGCAAUGAAGAAGCCCAACAGUAUGCCCUGCUCGAACUCCACGGGAUUGAAGCAUGGCCAGGAAGAAGACAGGAUGGGCUGGGAGAAAACAGGAGAGGUGGAGGAGAUGUCUGUCGGCAAAGUGCUCCCUGUGCAGGCCUGAGUUCAAUUCUCAGACCCCACAUGGAAAAGCCAGGCGUGAUAGCACGGGCUUGCAACUCCCGGCACAAAAGAGGUGGACAUGG